CAGGGUGGUGAAGGAGCUAAGUAAAUGGGCUCUGGGAUCACACCACCUGGGUCCAUUUUGAGCUCUGCCUGUUAGGUCGGGGUAGGUUCAACCCCUGUAGCACAAACACCAGAUGCAUCCUGGGAAAUACUGUUCUCUUUAAAACUGCAGGAGUGGCCCCCGUUGAGAUGGAGGUUGAACAAGCAUUUCCCUAGAGUCCUGUGGUCCAUAGCAUUGUCUGCUAAGAUGCUGGGCUGUCCUGGAGCUGCGGCUGGAGUCAGGUUCAAAUGCAGCACCCGGCAGCACACUACACAGGUGAGGACACCAUGUUCCUCUACUGUUGUGGAUGCAGCCCUCACCAGACGACCGAACCUGCCAGUGCCUUGUUCUUGGACUUCCUAGCCUUCAGAACUACUGUUUGACCUCUGGUAACUAAAACUGCAGAAGGCAAAACUGGAUAAGGAGACUACUGUAAUGAUUAUGCUAUUACAAGACGCUCGAUUGCUAACAUCAGACAUUUUUAUAAAAGGAAGUGAAGCUAUGAGAUCCACAAUGUGAAUGUCACCCAACCAGAGGUGUUACUUUGUGCCAUGUACAACAUACACAACCAUAGGCCAGAAUCCUGCUAGGACAUCUCUGCCUGUGGAAGGAGGGCUGGAUGGCAUACUGGGAAUGGCUUUCUAGGAUGACUUCCUGUUGCUACAGACUACAAGAAGCAUUUCUGGCCUUGAUGUUGUCUGAAUGAAGAAGACAUAGGAGUUUCACCAAAGCCUACAGGAAUGAGGAAGCAGGAAGGGCCAGAGUGAAGUGGAAACUUUGAACUUGAAGUUGGAAGACACUGGUACUCAUCUCUUCUAUUUGCUAGCUGUAUGAUCUUGGGCAACUUAUUUAAUUUAUCUUCCUCCAGUUUACUCAUUGAUUAAAUGAAGGUAACAAUUUUAUCUCAUAGGGAUAUGGGGAUGAUCGAGAGAGAUAAUAAAAGUGAAAGUGUUUUGAAAAGCA
rnacentral:lncRNA from 1 species